rnacentral:rRNA from 1 species
CAGCAGCCGCGGUAAUACGAAUGGGGCUAGCGUUGUUCGGAAUUACUGGGCGUAAAGCGCACGUAGGCGGACAUUUAAGUCAGGGGUGAAAUCCCGGGGCUCAACCCCGGAACUGCCUUUGAUACUGGGUGUCUAGAGUAUGGAAGAGGUGAGUGGAAUUCCGAGUGUAGAGGUGAAAUUCGUAGAUAUUCGGAGGAACACCAGUGGCGAAGGCGGCUCACUGGUCCAUUACUGACGCUGAGGUGCGAAAGCGUGGGGAGCAAACAGGAUUAGAUACCCCAGUAGUCCCUGUCUCUUAUAC